GCGGGCGUAGCUCAAUUUGGUUAGAGCGUUCCCCUGUCACGGGAAAGGUUGCCGGUUCAAGUCCGGUCGCUCGCG
rnacentral:tRNA from 1 species